GAUGAACGCUGGCGGCGUGCUUAACACAUGCAAGUCGAACGGUGAACGAGGGAGCUUGCUCCCUCCGGAUCAGUGGCGAACGGGUGAGUAACACGUGAGCAAUCUGCCCUGGACUCUGGGAUAAGCGUUGGAAACGACGUCUAAUACCGGAUACGAGGCGUGGGGGCAUCCCCAACGCCUGGAAAGAACUUCGGUCCAGGAUGAGCUCGCGGCCUAUCAGCUAGUUGGUGAGGUAACGGCUCACCAAGGCGACGACGGGUAGCCGGCCUGAGAGGGUGACCGGCCACACUGGGACUGAGACACGGCCCAGACUCCUACGGGAGGCAGCAGUGGGGAAUAUUGCACAAUGGGCGCAAGCCUGAUGCAGCAACGCCGCGUGAGGGACGACGGCCUUCGGGUUGUAAACCUCUUUUAGCAGGGAAGAAGCGAAAGUGACGGUACCUGCAGAAAAAGCACCGGCUAACUACGUGCCAGCAGCCGCGGUAACAC
rnacentral:rRNA from 1 species